rnacentral:rRNA from 1 species
UACGUAGGUGGCGAGCGUUGUCCGGAUUUACUGGGCGUAAAGAGCGCGCAGGCGGUCGUAUAAGUCGAAUGUGAAAGCCCCCGGCUCAACUGGGGAGAGUCAUUCGAUACUGUUCGACUCGAAGGCAGGAGAGGGAAGUGGAAUUCCGGGUGUAGUGGUGAAAUGCGUAGAUAUCCGGAGGAACACCAGUGGCGAAGGCGGCCUUCUGGUCCAGUACUGACACUCAAGUGCGAAAGCGUGGGGAGCAAACAGG